UUCCAGACAAAUAGACACAUCAAUUUAAGUCCUAUCUGCUUCUCAGAUACAUCACCAUGAGGAGCAAACCAUGAGUACAUUUUAUUGGAAUUUAUGCCUAAAUGAUGAACAUACAAGAAGUUCACAAAUGGAUGGAUCCAUCUGAAGAGGGCAGAGUUCUGGUAAUUCAUAUAAUUAAGGACAUUUAAACAGGGGUCGUCAUCUCUAUCUAUUCAUCUCCCGAUAUGACGUGACGCCACUUUUUUCCUCAACAAGCAAAGAAUAACAAUUACCAGGAACGUCCGGGAUGGUAAUUGUGAUUAAUUACCCUGCCUCGGCGCACCAUUACAGCUGCAAACAGGUAUCAAUUUUCUGCUGCACUGCGGAGCACGACUCCCUCAGGCAGCCGCGAUAAUUAACCCAAAGUCUUGCUGACUGACAGAGAUCAACUGCUUUAUUCGGCGGCCCGCCUGUCUGCAGUCUGCUAACCAGGACUCCCGCUAUUGUGCGACCAGCGUCUGCCUCUUCCAGAUGCAGGCCGGGAUACCAGUGCUCUAUUCACAACUACUUCAGCGCUUUUGAGAUAGAGACGCGAUGAAAAAGAGAUCAUUAGAUUUUCUUUCCAAGUCAAACACGUACACAAGACGAGGGCUCUGAUUGAAACAUUUGUAAGACACUUACAGCAGAGAGAUGACAAGACCAGGAGAGCCCCUCAGAUUCACCCUCACAGACCACAGACUGACUGGGGCGGCCUCGUCAAGAGACAAAGCUAUGGUGGGCUAGGCUGGAAGGUGUGGGUGAGAGCCUGGUGAGGGAGUCCCCACCACCCCCUUCCUACCCUGCUGUGUGAUGGAGGGUAAUGACCUCUUUGUGAAAUGACUCAAAUAAAUCAAAUGAAUCUAAAAUGGAAAUUCUAUCACUAGUGGCACUGUUGAUCUUUUUUCUCGUUCUUUUAUU